CGCUGCUGCCGUACGGCCACGGCACCCACUCCGGCUGGGUCGAGCUGUGCCACGACCGCGGCAUCCCGGUGCUCGGGCCCGCCGGGCUGCCG
rnacentral:tRNA from 1 species